UUGCGUACCGCGCGCACACACACACCCCCCCUCCCUCCCUCCCUCCCUCCCACAAAGCCGGGCGGGCCGUGCGCGUACCUUCCCGCUUGGCCUUUCACUGAAUGCCUGCUUCUGUGUCGGUCACACGAGUGUAACACAAUGUAGCCGUGUGCAGAUUAUCAGGAGUCCUUCAGGAGUUCUUGGCACGCUGUUUGCUGCUGCUGCAGCUCAGAGGAGGAUGAUUCAUCUUCUCCUCCGGGCUGUGACUUGACUUCGAAGGUUUCGCAACACUGGGUGGCUUUAUAACGACAUCAUUGCCGGCUGUGUGUGUGUGCCUCCCAAAAGCUUUCUUUGCAAACUUGCGAGCGAAAGAGCAGCGAGCGGCAAGGGGGGGGGACAAAUCUUAAAACAGCAGCCCCCCCCUCUUUCCUAGGGAAAAACAAUGGCGCUUUACAUCUGCCACAGAAGCUUUCUUUGCAAACUUGCGAGCGAACGCGCAGCGAGCAGCAAGGGGGGGGGAAAACAAAUCUUAAAACAGCAGCCCCCCCCCUUUCCUGGGGAAAAACAAUGGCGCUUUACAUCUGCCAGCUCUUCCUCUUAGCUGCCGAUUUAACGCUGGCGUCCGCGAUCUCCUGCGUCCUUUACACGCUCACCUGCCUGUGUAUUGGGACUGUCGUCAGUUUGUUGAUCCUUCUCUGCUCCUUUGGGGUGGCGAAGAACGUGAGGAAAAUGGUGGGCCGAAUGGGGGGUGCGCUCCUCAGCUUGGCUUGGAGGAGCCCCGUUGGAAAGAUGCUUUUGAGGAAAUCUGAACAUCCAGAGUUUGAGGUGCUGGCAGCGCCUCAUGGCCAGGAGGCAAACUGGGACCCAGUUCCGAAGGAGGAAGGCGCAUCCGCCACUAAACUGCCAGGGACUCGGAAGAAAUCACAGAAGCCUCUGGGGCAGAGUCAGCUUCCUCCGAAAGUUUUUUUGCUUGCUCUCCUCUGGGCUCCUGUGGACCUGGUGUGCCCUUGUCUGAAGAAAACAAGGUAUCGGUUGCUUAGCACCCUACUGAAAUCUCGAGACUAAGAGGUGAGGCAGCCUGGACGUGUACCCCCACAGAUAUAUAUCUGAACGGAGCCCCCUAGCUAAAGAGACAAGUGUAACCUGAAACAAAACAAUGCAGUGUUGAUCUGGUAGGGAGAAUGGAAUGGCCAGGCCAGUGGAAGGGAAAAACGGUGACCUUUGUCCCCACACCCUAUUUCAGCAGAGAGUGCUAACUUAUUUAAUGGGCUAUGUAUGGGUCAAGUGAACAGAAAAUUUAAUGUGAAUUCCAGGAUUACUGUAUUUUUCUGUGUUUAAAACAACACUUUUCCCUAAAAUAAUUAAAGGAAAAAUUGAGGGUUCUUUUAUACAGGGCAGUAAGGAGGGGGGAGGGAUCAAAGGCCUUUGAUCCCUCCUACCCCCCCCCCCAUUUUGCAAAGAAAAUGAAAGGGGAAAGCAAUUCCUGCUUUCCACCGACAUUUUCAUUGCAAAACGUUUGCAACAUUUUGUUUUAUUUAUUUUAUUUACAGUAUUUAUUAAAUUUAUACCCCGCCCAUCUAGACCGAAGUCUACUCUGGGUGGCUAACAAUAAUAGAUAAAAUAAAAACAAUAUAAUAAAAUAAAAAAAAUCCA
rnacentral:lncRNA from 1 species